rnacentral:rRNA from 1 species
GCUGGCGGCAUGCUUAACACACGCAAGUCNCGGUAACGCGAGGGGAAACCCUGGCGANGAGUGGCGGACGGGUGAGUAAUGCUUAGGAAUCUGCCCAGUAGUGGGGGACAACCCGGGGAAACCCGGGCUAAUACCGCAUACGCCCCAUGGGGGAAAGCGGAGGACCUUCGGGCUUCGCGCUAUUGGGUGAGCCUAAGUCGGAUUAGCUAGUUGGUAGGGUAAUGGCCUACCAAGGCGACGAUCCGUAGCUGGUCUGAAAGGACGAUCAGCCACACUGGGACUGAGACACGGCCCAGACUCCUACGGGAGGCAGCAGUGGGGAAUAUUGGACAAUGGGCGAAAGCCUGAUCCAGCAAUGCCGCGUGUGUGAAGAAGGCCUGCGGGUUGUAAAGCACUUUCAGUGGGGAAGAAAAGUGCAGCGCUAACAUCGCUGCAUCUUGACGUUACUCACAGAAGAAGCACCGGCUAACUCCGUGCCAGCAGCCGCGGUAAUACGGAGGGUGCGAGCGUUAAUCGGAAUUACUGGGCGUAAAGCGCACGUAGGCGGUCAGGCAAGUCGGGUGUGAAAGCCCUGGGC